rnacentral:rRNA from 1 species
GACGUAGGGGGCAAGCGUUGUCCGGAAUCAUUGGGCGUAAAGCGCUCGUAGGUGGAUCGGUAAGUCUGCAAAGAAAGACCCGGGCUCAACUCGGGGAACGGUGUGGAUACUACCGAUCUUGAGGCAAUCAGAGGAUGAUGGAAUUCCCGGUGUAGCGGUGAAAUGCGCAGAGAUGCGGAGGAACACCGAUGGCGAAGGCAGCCCCCUGGGCUAACACUGACGCUCAGGCACGAAAGCGUGGGGAGCAAACAGG